rnacentral:rRNA from 1 species
AUUGAACGCUGGCGGCAGGCCUAACACAUGCAAGUCGAACGGUAGCACAGAGAGCUUGCUCUUGGGUGACGAGUGGUGGACGGGUGAGUAAUGUCUGGGAAACUGCCCGAUGGAGGGGGAUAACUACUGGAAACGGUAGCUAAUACCGCAUAACGUCUUCGGACCAAAGUGGGGGACCUUCGGGCCUCACACCAUCGGAUGUGCCCAGAUGGGAUUAGCUAGUAGGUGGGGUAAAGGCUCACCUAGGCGACGAUCCCUAGCUGGUCUGAGAGGAUGACCAGCCACACUGGAACUGAGACACGGUCCAGACUCCUACGGGAGGCAGCAGUGGGGAAUAUUGCACAAUGGGCGCAAGCCUGAUGCAGCCAUGCCGCGUGUAUGAAGAAGGCCUUCGGGUUGUAAAGUACUUUCAGCGGGGAGGAAGGCGUUAAGGUUAAUAACCUUGGCGAUUGACGUUACCCGCAGAAGAAGCACCGGCUAACUCCGUGCCAGCCGCCGCGGUAA